rnacentral:rRNA from 1 species
UACGGAGGGAGCUAGCGUUGUUCGGAAUUACUGGGCGUAAAGCGCACGUAGGCGGCUUUGUAAGUUAGAGGUGAAAGCCCGGGGCUCAACUCCGGAACUGCCUUUAAGACUGCAUCGCUUGAAUCCAGGAGAGGUGAGUGGAAUUCCCAGUGUAGCGGUGAAAUGCGUAGAUAUUGGGAGGAACACCAGUGGCGAAGGCGGCUCACUGGACUGGUACUGACGCUGAGGCGCGAAAGCGUGGGGAGCAAACAGG